AGCGCCUGCUUUGGCUGAGGAAGCUAGUUUCCCAUCGUGGAAAGGCAGUGAGCGUGCUCCUCAGUGCUGGCAGCUAUGUGGCUUGCGGCAAGCUCAAGCACCUUGGAAAAGCAUGGACCCAGGCUCCAUGCACCCCCAAGACAUUACUGGUUGCCCAAGGGCCUGUGAGCAUUGCACCUCUGCUUGGCUCACCUUUUCCCUGGAGGCUUCCCAGCCUCCUCCAUGCUUCCUGGUGGUCACUCUGUCACACCACAACAGGCAGAUUUCGCCAGGGUCUGAAGCACCUUUCUUCCUUUAUUACUGCCUGUUUUCCAGUUUUGCUUGAAGGCUUUAAAGGUCACGUCUUGUACCCUACACCCUGACCCUGGAUCAGAACCUGUGCACCUUCGGUAGAUGUGGCGCACACAGGAGUUGAAUGAGAGAGAAAGAAAAGAAGGGAGAGAGAAAGAGGUGGAGAAGAGCUAGAUCUGGCAGCCUUGCGAGGGGGAGAGCAGGAAGCAUGGCCUAUGGGAUUAGCGGGCCGGAAAUCCUCCAGGAGACUUCAACUCCUAAGCCUACUUCCUCACCACCGACGGCGUGAAACUCUAGCCUUCCUCGGGGAGACAUGGAUUGCUUGGCCCAUACCCCCGUCUCUACCAAGUCCAGAUGCUGAUGCUGCUGCUGUCCUGGUGACCACACUUGGAGAAUCACUGAUGUGGAGCAAACCAGGUGCAGGGUCAGUGGGAAGUCAGGUGUAGACCACGAACUCUCCCAGACACUGCUGCGGCUCAGUUUUCUCGUCUGACCGUGAAGAACAGCAGGCUGCCUACCGUUGUGGCUGUAAGGACUGCAGGACACAGGAGCGCAAAGAACACCGGCUCUUUUCCUAAAUGUUUGCUUCCUUCUCCCACAUCCUCAGGCUUGGUUGCUGUGGGUAACGUGGAUCUUUCCACCUCCCUGAGAAACAGGCCGUCCUAUGGUCAUGGAUGGGAAUUAGCACAGGAGGGGCCACGCGAGGGCUUGCUUUCCAGUGGCUGUGCUUAGUCCUGAAGGAGGAGACCCCAGGAACCCAGUUUCUCCUCCUGCUUGAGGAACCCCUUCAAGGCUAGCAGCCUCCAUCCCUUACCUGCAGUUACUAUAAUCAUAACACACUCAGUAGGAUAUUCUAUCAAGUGAUAUGUAAGAGCAUCAUAAAGGGCUCACACA